AUUGAACGCUGGCGGCAGGCCUAACACAUGCAAGUCGAACGAGUGGCGGACGGGUGAGUAAUGUCUGGGAAACUGCCUGAUGGUGGGGGAUAACUACUGGAAACGGUAGCUAAUACCGCAUACCAUCAGAUGUGCCCAGAUGGGAUUAGCUAGUAGGUGGGGUAAUGGCUCACCUAGGCGACGAUCCCUAGCUGGGCUGAGAGGAUGACUAGGCACGCUGAAACGGAGAAACGGUCCGGACUAACACGGGAGGGAGAAGUGGAGAAUAAUGAAAAAUGGGCGCAAGCCGGAUACAGCGAAGCCGAGUGUAUGAAGGAGGCCUAGCGGUAGAAGAGUACUUACAGCGAGGAGGAGUUACUCGCAGAAGAAGCACGGGAUAAAUCCUUGCCAGCAGCCGCGGUAAUUC
rnacentral:rRNA from 1 species